GAUGAACGCUGGCGGCGUGCCUAACACAUGCCAGUCGAGCGAACAGACGAGGAUCGUGCGCCUCUGACGUUAGCGGCGGACGGGUGAGUAACACGUGGAUAACCUACCUAUAAGACUUGGAUAACGGCGGGCAACCGGAGCUAAUACCGGAUAAUAUAUUCAACCGCAUGGUUCAGUAGUGAAAGACGGUUUUGCUGUCACUUAUAGAUGGAUCCGCGCCGCAUUAGCUAGUUGGUAAGGUAACGGCUUACCAAGGCAACGAUGCGUAGCCGACCUGAGAGAGGGAUCGGCCACACUGGAGCUGGGACACCGUCCAGGCUCCUGCGAGAGGCCGCAGUAGGGUAUCUUCCGCAGUGGGCGGAAGCCUGGCGGAGCGACGCCGCGUGAGUGAUGGAGGUCUUCGGUUCGUGAAGCUCUGUUAUUAGGGAAGAACAAAUGUGUGAGUAGCUGUGCACGUCUUGACGGUACCUGCUGAGAAAGCCACGGCUAACUACGUG
rnacentral:rRNA from 1 species